CUUAAUAAUAUACAGAAAAGAAAAGACAUACAAGAUAUUAUACAAAACAGGGACCUCUUCCUCGUGAUAGAUCUUUUAUAAUUAAGAAGAAUAUUGUUGUUGAACACUUUUAAGCAACAAAAAAAUUAACACAAAAACAGAGUAUUGCAAUUUCACAAAACAAAUGAAAAAAAAAACAAAAAAUCAAAGGAAAUAAACUAGAUAAAGAUAAUAAACCAAAUAAACAUAAAAACAAAGAACACUAAAUGCAAAUAAACUCAUAACAUGAAGCCCUAAAUUCAAAAAUACCUUAUAAUAAAGUCUUGGAGUGCAAACUCAAACUAAGAACACCUGAAAUCAAAAAGAAAGAGAUAUUAGAUGAAGUUUAAGAGAUUAUAUGUAAGUAAUUGAACCCUAAUUGAAGUUUAAUGAAGAACCAAAACCCUGAUUGAAAAGCCAAAACCCUAAUUGAAGAAUUGGAACCUCGACCCACAAAUCAACUGUGCUCCAACUAUAAAUGCAAAUCCAUGUUAAUUAAAAGUGAUGACGAGAUUGAGUGAAAAUGGUGGCCAGAGAGAGAUUAGCUUUAGAGAGAUUAACAAGAGAGAGAGUAGAGAAGGGAGAGAGAGUUGAGCGAGGGAGAGAGUGUAGUGAGUGUUGAGGGUAUUCAAGGAGACUCGAGCGUGUUCAGUGUAU
rnacentral:lncRNA from 1 species